CCCCGACGCGCCACGCAGUUUCGGGGUCCCGGCGGGGGGUGGGGAGCGCGGGAGGCCGCCCUCGCGCGGGCCGGGCGCGCGGCCAGACUCACCUGUGUGCGUCCGCAGGUGCGACUUGAGGUGGGAGGACUUGUAGUACGCCUUGGCGCAGCCCGGGAAGGGACAGCGGUGGCUCUUGGCGGCGGCGGGCGCGGCGCCGGGGGCGCGGCCGGAGGACGGGGACGAGGCGGCCGAAGAAGAGGAGGCGGGCGAGGCGCCCCCCGGAGCGGCGCCGGGCCCGCCGCGCAGGUCGGCCAGGAUGCUAGCGGCCAGCAGUUUGUGGCCCUGCUCGACCGCGCGCCCCUUGCCUUCUCUCGCCCGCUUUCAUGGGGGUCCCCCUCGCCGCUCCCGGAGACCCGCAGCUAGCCCUUCAGGAGUUGUCACCCCAUUUCAUAGAUGAAGACAUCAAGGCUGGGAGAGGCCCCAGAAGAGGCCUGAAGUGGCUGGCCCACAUGCAAGAGCUAGGAGGCAGCAGAGGGUUUGGGGGCCUGAGCUUCUGUCCUGGCCGGGGCACCCACACAGAGCCGUGCACCGUGCGGGAUCUUAGUUCCCUGACCAGGGAUCGAACCCAUGCCCCCUGCAUUGGGAGUGCGGAGUCUUAACCACUGGACUGCCAGGGAGGUCCCCCAGAAAAUAUUCUUAAGGAAACAGAAACGUCUGUGUAUGGCUGCACUGUUGUAAUGGGGUAAGAGGAGAACAGGUGGACCAGCCUGUGUCGGUCACUGUGUCAUGGAGCACGAGGCUAUGGGAGGGCCAAGACACAGGGUCAGCUGCGAACUCGAGCUCACCGGAAGCCACAGCCCCUUCACGCUGUGAACUCUGGGUGUUUCCACCUGUCUCUGCAGCCUUUUAGUGCACAGUGGCCUCUGCCAGCCCGUCCACAGCGUUCACCUUUGCAGGGGCCUGGAGACGCACGAAGAGGAAGGGGACAUGGGGUGGGGGGCUAGGGGCGGGUGGUUCAGCUCCUCAGAGCGUCAGGCUGGGCAGGCAGGUGCACCCGUUUUUACCACCUGCCUGGCAUUGGACAUUUGUGGGUGUGACCCCCAGCCUCUCCACGUGGGUCCUGCUUGCAGCUCUCAAAGGACAAAAGCCCCCACCCCUCGUGGAGCGGACGUUCCAGCAGGAUGUUGUACUUUGACAACAGAGCAUUUUUUAAGAUUCA